AGUUAACCCUAGCUGCCAUUCCCUUGAGAUUUCGCUGAGAAAUAACGUCGAUUUCAUCCUCCAAAGUUGUUGCUCCGAUAGAAACUGAUUCCGUUUGAUCUCAGACGUUCUAGACUCGUAUAUCUACGAUUCCCAACUUUUAGUUUGCUCAACGCCGUUCGGAGGUCGAAAUCAAUUCCGUUUGUUUUCCGUGAAAGUAGACUCACGCAUCUACGUUUCUACACCUUUCGUUCGUCAAACGACCCGUCGACUGCUCGUGCUUCGGAGUCUACGCAGGGUUAGCUGUUUGCCAAGAUCACGUGGAUAAGCAAGCAGUUUAUGAUUUGAAAGUUGGUCCACUCCGAAUCUUUAUUCCUCGGAGGUUUAUUUUCUUUUAAUAAAUUGUCAAACUACCUUUUUCUUAGACCGCAGUAGUAAACUAGAAGUCUAUAUUAUUCUAGUCUGUUUGUCGGAUUUGUCUAACUGGCUUUAUUUUAUGCUUUGGCAUUACGAUUGUUUAACUCUACUUAUUUUUAUUUAAUGAAAGUACUUAUAUUUAAA